AGUGAACGCUGGCGGUAGGCCUAACACAUGCAAGUCGAACGGCAGCACAGUAAGAGCUUGCUCUUACGGGUGGCGAGUGGCGGACGGGUGAGGAAUACAUCGGAAUCUACUUUUUCGUGGGGGAUAACGUAGGGAAACUUACGCUAAUACCGCAUACGACCUACGGGUGAAAGCAGGGGAUCUUCGGACCUUGCGCGAUUGAAUGAGCCGAUGUCGGAUUAGCUAGUUGGCGGGGUAAAGGCCCACCAAGGCGACGAUCCGUAGCUGGUCUGAGAGGAUGAUCAGCCACACUGGACCUGAGACACGGGCCAGACUCCUACGGGAGGCAGCAGUGGGAAAUAUUGGACAAUGGGCGCAAGCCUGAUCCAGCCAUACCGCGUGGGUGAAGAAGGCCUUCGGGUUGUAAAGCCCUUUUGUUGGGAAAGAAAAGCAGCAGGUUAAUACCCCGCUGUUCUGACGGUACCCAAAGAAUAAGCACCGGCUAACUUCGU
rnacentral:rRNA from 1 species